UUUCUGGAAAACAGCAUUCAAUAUUGAACGCCCACACUUAUCGGUUGUUGGAAGAAGUCGGUGCUAACCGACAUGGGUCUGUAGCUCAGCUGGUUAGAGCACCGUCUUGAUAAGGCGGGGGUCGUUGGUUCGAGCCCAACUAGACCCACCAAAUCUUCCGAACAUAAGAUGCGAGGAUCAGUGGGGGAUUAGCUCAGCUGGGAGAGCACCUGCUUUGCAAGCAGGGGGUCGUCGGUUCGAUCCCGUCAUCCUCCACCAACCAAUACGCUCUGCGGUAGGG
rnacentral:tRNA from 1 species